rnacentral:rRNA from 1 species
AUUUAAUUGUUUAUUUAGUUUUUUAGUUUAAAUUUAUUUUUAAAAAAUAUUUUAAUUUUUAGUAUUAAUUAGAAAAAAUUUAUUUUAUUAUAGUGAAAAUUAUUGUGAAAGAAUAUUUAUAAAUAUAUAAAAGAAAAAUUAUUUUUUUGUACCUUGUGUAUCAGGGCUUAUUUAAUAUAUUUAAUUAAUUUAUUAGUCUCGAAUUUAAAAGAUUUAAAAAUUUAUUGAUUUUUAUUAUUAAAUAAAUAUUUUGAAUAAAUUUUUUGAAAUUAAAUGUUAUUCGUUUUUAAAUAUAUCUAGUUUUUUAAGAAAUAAAUUUAAUUUAUUUAUUUAUUAUAUAUAUAUAUAUAUAUAUAUAUAAAUGUUAUAAAUAAUCAAUAUUUUUAGGGAUUAUCUUUAAAAUUGAUUAUUAUUAAAAGUAUUUUUAUUUUAAAAAAUUAGAAUUAAAAAUUUUUAUAUUUUGAAGUAUAUUAUUAUUUAUUAUUAGUAAUAUUAUUUAUAUUUUUUAUAAAUUAUUUAUUAAAAUAUAAUUUUGAAUUUUUAAAAAUUAGUAAUAAUGAUAAGAUUAGUAUAAUAAAAAGUUUAUAAUAAUUUUAUUUUAAAAUAAUUUAAAGGAAUUCGGCAAAUUAUAUUUUCGCCUGUUUAUUAAAAACAUGUCUUUUUGUUUAAAAUUUAAAGUCUGGCCUGCCCACUGAAAUUUUUAAAUGGCCGCAGUAUUUUGACUGUGCUAAGGUAGCAUAAUCAUUAGUUUUUUUAUUGAAAACUGGAAUGAAAGGUUGGACGAAAAAAAAUCUGUCUUUAUUUUAAUUUAUAGAAUUUUAUUUUUAAGUUAAAAAGCUUAAAUUUUAUUAAAAGACGAGAAGACCCUGUAGAGUUUAAUAAAUUUAUAUUUAUUUAUUAUUUUUAGAAUUUAUAUUAAUAUUUAUAAUUUUAUUUUAUUGGGGUGAUAGAAAAAUUUAUUUAACUUUUUUUUAAUUAGUAUAUUAAUUAAUAGAUUUUUGAUCCAAAAAUUUUGAUUAUAAGAUUAAAUUACCUUAGGGAUAACAGCGUAAUUUUAUUUGAGAGUUCAAAUCGAAAAUAAAGAUUGCGACCUCGAUGUUGGAUUAAAAUUUAUAUUUGGUGUAGAAGCUAAGUUAUUAGGUCUGUUCGACCUUUAAAAUUUUACAUGAUCUGAGUUUAAACCGGUUUAAGCCAGGUUGGUUUCUAUCUUUAAUUAAUAUUUAUAUUUUAGUACGAAAGGACCAAAUAUAAAAAUUAUUAUUUUUUUUAUUUGAUAAAAAUU